GAUCUUCCCCAGUCCACCAUCACCAUCAUGACUAUUGUUGGUGCUGUCCUUGGAGCUGUGGUCUUCUCCUAGGUUUUAUUAUUGGUGUGAUGCUGUGGAUGAGGAAGUACACAUGUGGAAAGAAGGCAACUUUUCUCCUGCUGCAGGUCGGUGUUCAGGGAAGAAUCCUCCCUGAGGAACUGGAGUGGAGGCUGAGCUGAUGGUUUCCCCUCCAGCCCCACCUGUCAAUCUCCUGACUGUGUCUGGUUAUUUCUACUGCAACCAGGGACAGUGUCCAGAGCUCUGUCUUGUCUCUGGAGGCUUGAAAAGCUUCAGACUGGAGCUACCACCGUAUCUGUGUCCUCUUCGCAACUGUGAACUUCAGAUUUUUCCAGCUUUGUCUCCAAAACCGGUCAUCUGCUUCCCUGGCCCUUUGUCCCUGAGGAACAUCCAGUGUCCUGCCACUGGUCACCUGAGCAAGGUGAUGCUUCAGCAAUGGGAAAUGGGCUGUGUCUAAGUUCUGUUAAAUCCUCCUAGUCCUGUUUGGACCAACAGCAUCUUCUUUUGCUCACUUCCUAGGAUUCAUGAAAGCCCUGAUUACAGAUUACUCUGUUACAUAUUGUAUCACUCUGUUACAUAUUGUAUCACUCUGUUACAUAGUGUAUCACCCUGUUACAUAGUGUAUCACCCUGUUACAUAGUGUAUCACCCUGUUACAUAGUGUAUCACCCUGUUACAUAGUGUAUCACCCUGUUACAUAGUGUAUCACCCUGUUACAUAGUGUAUCACUCUGUUACACAUUGUAUC